GACGAACGCUGGCGGCGUGCUUAACACAUGCAAGUCGAACGGAAAGGCCCUGCUUUUGUGGGGUGCUCGAGUGGCGAACGGGUGAGUAACACGUGAGUAACCUGCCCUUGACUUUGGGAUAACUUCAGGAAACUGGGGCUAAUACCGGAUAGGAGCUCCUGCUGCAUGGUGGGGGUUGGAAAGUUUCGGCGGUUGGGGAUGGACUCGCGGCUUAUCAGCUUGUUGGUGGGGUAGUGGCUUACCAAGGCUUUGACGGGUAGCCGGCCUGAGAGGGUGACCGGCCACAUUGGGACUGAGAUACGGCCCAGACUCCUACGGGAGGCAGCAGUGGGGAAUAUUGCACAAUGGGCGGAAGCCUGAUGCAGCAACGCCGGGUGCGGGAUGACGGCCUUCGGGUUGUAAACCGCUUUCGCCUGUGACGAAGCGUGAGGGACGGUAAUGGGUAAAGAAGCACCGGCUAACUACGU
rnacentral:rRNA from 1 species